AAAAACUACAAAUAGGUACAACUAUUUGAUGACUAACUCUUCCAAGUAACGUCAUAUGCAAGCACCGUGAUGCCAGUAGCUUCAGAAAAAUAAUUCUGCACAAUGAAGAAGAAUCAAAGAGUUGGACUUAUGGUUCAUAACGAUAGCGCACAACCAUCCUGUCGUAAGUGCAAUGGGAUGCACAAAUUGGAAGACUGUAAGCAGUUUCUAGAGUUAAAUAAAGUAAGCUAUGCUGGAAGUGCUUUGGCAAACAAUCAAAGCUACGGUUUUACACACAAGGCAGAACGAAGCUGCGUUGUUUAGAUAUUUCCUCUUAACAUUGUAUAGGCCGAUCGGUUCGCUCUAGACCAAAAAAAAAAACGCCUGUACCCUGAUUGAGACGGAGAUAACGGAUAUCUAAGCAUCGACGGCUCUUCGGAGUUAUGCUUACGCUGGACCGGAGACAUCACGCAAUGAGUAGCAGACAAUGUGGCGCACAAAUUCACGCUUUAAAACGUGAGAACAGUCAAAAAUCUUGAUCUGCAAAAGCAGACACUAAAUGACUCAAUCAUAAGAUCUCAGUCGUACCUAGAAAAGCUACCGAUACUCGGUUACAAGAAUGUGACAGCAAAAGUGCAAACAUGUACCCUUUCCCUAAAUAGACAAAAUUGCUCACCAGUGUCUCUGAUUAACAUUUAAAUUACACAAGCAACCGAAAUAACAUACCUUGGUGUACAUUUGGAUAGACGGCUCAAUUGGCGUAAACACAUCAAAGCGAAAACAAAUCUACUGAAAUUUAAAGCUAGUAAUCUGCAAUGACUUAUAAACGUCCAGUCACAAUUAAAACUGGAGUUAAACUAUCAAGCCUCAGGUCCAUCCUAAUGGACUUGUGCAGUCUUUAACUUGGCACACGGUUAGUGUACACGACUCCGGCGAAGAGACCUCCCCCCAACAAAAAUAGAUCUGCCUACUUGUCGUUAGUCUUCAAGAGAAAAGAUUCGAUAAAUUAAUUACCGUAAUAAUAAUAAUAGAAAAAAGAAUGUGAGAGCAUCGGAUUGGACAACUUGAAACUCGGAGUUUCGUGAAAGAGCGCGAGGAUUCACAAUUUAUCGUCCAGGUUGAGGUGGGAUAGCCCUCGAGUAAUGCAUUCAUGCGAAUACAAUAGUCAUCCACAGCUAGAUGCUGUCAUAAAAGAGAGUUUCUCAUAAGGCACGGUAUGCGUCAGUAUAUCAAAGAAAACACAUAGGUCCAAGGAAGAUAAAAAAGCAAACACAAUAAUAGACAAUUCCACAAGAUUUUGCAGCGAAGUGAAAAGAUGUGAGACAAGACUUUUCUGGCGGUAUGGCAACGUGGGUUUUCUAGAAAGUCGGCAGUGCGACGACUAGAUGCCUAGAAUCUCGUAUGACACGCGACAAAAAGCUACGAUAGUUCCUAAACAAACUGAUCCUGAGAUACUAAGCAUCGGCUACGUCCGGAAAUUCAACACGGAUGAAAUGGUCAAAAGAAAACGCUCCUGGUAUUUGUCCGUAUUCGUGACCAAGAAAUGGAAAUUAAAACUCGUGUGGAGGUGCGGUGCGGUGGGAGAGAAUGAUCAAAUCGGUAAAAUCCAUACUAGCUGGAAUACUGGAGGAGACACAAGUACAAGAACCAGUGUUGCGAGCAGCACUGGCUAUAAUGGAAAAUAUGAUACAUUCCAUGCAUCUAAAUUAGCGUUGGACAGUCCAGAAGCCGACGUACUUGCACCGAAUCACUUCCUGAGACCAGAGACUAGUUCGAUGCCAUUAAAUGACGAAAACAGUUUAAUAGGAGUUCUACUUGGCAAAGUAGCCUUGCCCUCCUACUAACCCCAUCCAACUAAGAGACGUCGUGGUUCUAUCGGACGAAACAAGCCACAGGGCGCAGUGGAGCAAAUGCGUUAUCAUGGACAUGCGAGUAGCUAAGGACCGCACUGCAUGUGGAUUGCAUAGUCAGCCAAUUGUUAAGCUGGACAAGUUAGACCUGAAUACAACGAAUCCACACAUCUUCCAUGUCGUAACCAGAAGUUUGGCAUAAACCGCAAUGGAAGCGCAAAAUAUCGUUGCGCCUAACAGCACAGACAAAAAACACAGAGCAAAGGGUUAAGCCGUGCUAAUAUUUGAAAAAAGCGAGGAAAGGAAACGAGCAGGAAUGCGUGAGAAAAAGCAGCACAGGUUAAAUUGAAGAGCGAUGCAAUUCUUUUAGCUACUCUGUUAAUUGAUCAUUUCCAUUAUACUAUGUUUAUAUAAAUACAUACACACAAAAUUUCACGAAAAUCGGUCGACUCUUUUCGGAGGAGUUCAGCAACAAAAUUUGUGACACGAGAAUUUUAUAUAUUAGAUUCAGAUAAUUAGCAAACUACAUUUUAGGCAAUUUUGUAUCAUAGUAGAAAAUGAACAUUUACUCUUCAACAUAAAUAACCAUGAAUGUUGGAUUAAAUCCUUGUUCUUCUGGAAAUUUCGCUCGAUAUGAAGACAUUUGAAAACAGCCAUUGUAUUUCGUUCGCUAGAAAAUUUCGUGAUUCUGGUGUUUCGUCACAAAGCAAGGAAUGCAAUGGCUCUGGUGGCGGAAUAAUAGUGGCAAUUUCACUUUGCCCUUAAUGUUUGGACGUUAAUAUUCAAAAUCUGUCAAUUUUAAGUGGCCCAUUUUACAUCAGCAGAAGGCUGUUACGCACAGAUCCCAGGGAAGCACACAGCUCUCCUCCCGACCAACCGAGACCGAGAGACGAUUUCACAUGCCGCGUAUUCCGAACCGAACAUGCAGGAAAGAUAGGUGUUAGACUAUUCGAAGAAAAUUAUAACUACACUUACUACAAGAACUAAUCUUUAAUUAAAAAUACAAAUACGUUUACUAAUUACGAAAAGGCUAUGUAAAAAGGCUAUUAGUAGUGCAUAUAAUAUAGUAGAGGAUAUUGUUUGUAGUGGGGCGAAUCGCUGCUCAAUUCUCCAACAUCAAAAUCGUUGAUGCAGGGAACCUCUUAGUAGCCGUCGCAAGAAAUGUGGAAGACGAGGGCGGCGUACGUGGAGUAGCGUGUGGUGGUUCUUGCCACACACCCUGCACAGCCCGCCACUGCGACAAUCCUUGCCGGAGUGUUGGUGAUCCAGGCAGUUCCCGCAAUAAUGGUUGAGAAGGACAGCUUGGAGUCUCUUUUCGGGGCUCAGGAGAAGAAAUUGGUGGAAGGUCCGUAGCGGAUAGACUCCUUGGCAGAUUCGGCAACGGUAGGAGCCAAUUUCCCAAGCACGUCGGUUCUCCAUGGUGCGGUUGGCGCGGGGACGUGGGGCCAUAUCUGGGUGCAGAGAACUUCGAGUUCAGGCUUGAAUUCGGACCGGAGCGUUGAGCUUUCAUACAGUGCAUAUUUUGGAAAUAUUUCCGUCGGUCAGGAGACAGUUCGAGAACUUCUGCGGAGGGAGCUGGAAGGAAAUUGCUGUCAUAAAAAGACCCCGAGUCUUCUACCAGUUUGAUAGGUCGUCUGGAAAUUUGACUCGAGAACGAUGAGAUUUGAUUCAUCACCUGAGGCACUGGACCUGUGAGUACCCAGCCGAAAAUGGUCUCUUGCCCGAGGAGAGAGCCGCAGAUGUUGGUCAGUGAGCCACUUAACUAAAUGGACGGAAGGAUAUCCGCUCCAAUCGGAACAUCUAUUGGUGAACUCUCAUAGAACGUCGGAUCCGCCCAUGAGAGGUUCGGCAGGUCUUUCAAGAACCUUUGCGAGAUCGGAUGCGAUGGAAUAUUCGCAGCCACUUCCGCAAUAACGUAGGCUGUGGCAUUUAGUUCAAUUUUGUGCCGUUGUGGAAAUCGCUUCGCUGGAGUUUGCUGGAUUGCUACGGUGUAGAAGUGUGUGGUGCAAAGCAGUUCAUCGUCAGCGGGUAUUUGAAGGAAGUGAGGGCAUAGACGGAUUGUAUGAUACUCUUUGGAGCAGAGAUCACACGUGCUCCUCAUUUGAUUCCCUGUUGUCUCGAACGAGUGGACACUCCUAGGAUAAGGACUUCCUUGAGACCGAAACAGAUUGCUUCUGGAGUUGUUUGAAGUGGAGUAGGUGGAGUAGCUUGCCCUGGAGUAGGCCAGAGCCUCCAUGCCUGGAUGCCGUCCUCGGUCACUUCGAGAGACAGGUACCGUUCCGCCAGGAACUUGUCCAUGGCGUGCCAGGUGGGAAUUUCGGACUUGUGCGUCAGCCAUUGUUCCCAAAGCUCUAAGGUCGUCUUUGGCAGCUUAACCGAAAUGAGGUACACUAACACUCCGUCAGCGAAAACGCUGUCUGUGGAGACCUCGGAAUGGGUGAGUGUCGUGAGGCACUUGUGGACGGCCCUCUGGAGCUCUUUUAGCGCUGCUGCUGACUCGGUACGGAUUUGGGGCAGACCGAAAAGGUUCUUUAGCUGGGCCUUGAGUAUCAGCCUCUUGUUUUGGAAACGCUCACGGAGGGAGCUCCAUGCGGACGCGAACCCUUCGUUCGUGAGUGGAGCCUGUGCCACUAUGUCGUGGGCCUCACCGCUUGUUUUUUUGUUGAGGUGGAACAGUUUUUCUACUGGAGUCUCGGAACGUGGGCCACUGCUGGUAGUCCCCACUGAAAACUUCAGUGUCACAUGGAGGAAGACGGCAGCCGCCGGAAGUCGGCCCUUGAAUGGCCAGUUGAGGCGUGUGAGAGACAGUCGGGGGCUCGAGCUGAUCGUUCAGUUCGGCAAGGCAUUGCGCGCAGACCGCGCAGCAGUCAUCGUACAUCCAUUGGACGUCUGCUACCCCCUCUGGAUCUACUUCCGCUAUCGCACCCAAACAGGCCUCGAACUCCGCGUCCACUUUCACCCAGAGACUUCGGAGUUGAUCUUGAUGGACUAGGGAGAGCGAGCAGGUUAGUGUGCUAGUAUCUGGAGCGCUGAGCUUCUGGUCGAAGCGUGUCAGUCUGCUUGCAGCCAAGGCAAACUUAGACCGUGCGGAACUGGCGGCCGAUUAGGCCAUGGUGCUAGGAACCGUGCGAGGGACUACCGAGGGGAGCAAUAAAGCCUCGAAGGCAUGUGGUUUGUGAGCCCGGGACGUGCUCGGACCUCGCUCAGCUGGGCCCAGACGGGAAGAUUUGGGCGUAGUGACUGGGCCGAUGGAGCUGGGUGGAUGCGUCAAACUCAGCGAACUCACCCGCUCAAACUUCUUGCGAGAUUUCUUUUCACCAGUUGGCAUGGUUAUCUGAUGGAUUUGCAGUAGCGCGUAUCAGAGUCGCAAAGCAGGUGAGCUUGAAUGGAGAAGAGGAAGUUCUGAACGCCAAACCGUGGAUAUGUGGACUUGGUGGAAUUUAUUGCGAAAAUAUAUUAUAACAAUCGUACACAGUGGCCGGAAUAUGUAAAUAUAAAAAUACUACGAACAAUAUCAAAAACUGUCCAACCAAGAACUACUAAUGAGGAUGAGCAAUAAUAUUGAGGCACAAGGUACCACAAGAAGCGUGUUACGUGUUAGAUGUGUUACGUGGAGAUAGACUGGACAACGAUAUAUAGUUUUAAAUUUCGAGGCAAUAAGGUGUAACCAAUUUGCACAACACGAUGACCGAAAAUUACUGAUAUCGGAUUGCAAAGCGAGAUUGAAGUGAAGUGUAGUUAUAGAGCUUAGCAUCAUCCGCAUGCAUGAGUACUCAUCCGCUUCCCUAUGGUACUCCAGAAGUAACCUUCUCUGGUGAAGAAAUGUAUUUUUUGAAGAAGACUCUUUUAAACCUGGAUCGAAAGUAGCCAGAAAUCCAUCCCAUGAGUGCCUAGUAAACCUCUCAUAUUGAAGUGCAUAAUGAAUUUCAAGUUGGUAGGAAGUUGGUUAGUGUUAAAGAGAUUAAAUCAGAUCAAGUGGGUUCCGGUGAAAAAGUAAUGCACAACCACAAAUAGAAACCAUUCCAAAAGGAUAUAAUACGAAAAGUACAGGACAUAAGAUCGUAGAGGGAGAUCUAUAUCGUCUUCGAGGGUUUACCCAUGACUGUCGCAGCAGCAAUUUUAAAGCCAUCUGCAAAAAUCUACACAUUCUGCUUGCCGGAAAUGCGAGAGAUUGGUAUUGGCAAUAUCGAAAAGAAGUCGUCGUAAUCGAGUGGCAGUAGUUCUGUACGGCCCUUAAACAGCAAUAUGUAGAUUUACGUACUGACGAUGAGACAGAAGAGGAAAUGAGGGCUAGAGAGCAGGAAUUAGGAGAAAGCUUUGAUGACUACUAUGAUGACGCUAUGAGUAUUGAAACACGGUUGACAGUACUUCUGGAAGAAGCGUGAGUCAUAAAAAUGCUCAUCCGAAAUCUUCAUAUGGAAGUACGACAUCAGAUUUAAUUCGAAGAAAUAAGGACAAAAAAAAAAUUUGUCGUAUGAGAGAAAAUUUGAUAACAGAACAAGCAGGUGGUUGGAGCUGUGAGCAAGAAGGACAUAUUUGUAAGAACGAUUUGCAGUAGAUGCGGAGAGAAUAAUGUUUAUAAACCGCAGUGUGCAGUUUGUCUUAAUAGAAAGUCGGAAAACCAGAAGAAGGGUCCGAUCUAGAUCGUUGUUUGGCCUCGAAGUAGAUCAGGAAUGUACUUUUUGGAGCAGCUGAAUAACGCAAAAACAACGAAAUUCCCCGGAUAUGAACAUUUUAAUACCAGAUAGUGUUUUUUUUGGAAAGGUAAAGUAAGAAAUCGUAUUCCGGAAGUUUACGUAAUGACAGGAACGGCUAAGACCUUACGAAUUUUAGCGAAUAUUUAUGAAUUUUGCUAAGCAGAUGUUUUCAGAAGAAACUUUUUACAGAAUAAUUUUGAGAGAAAUAAAGCAAUCAAAUUGUGUCCAGCAUAUGUUAAGGCUAGAGUGCGAGUUGUAAAAUCGACAUUUCCUAUAGGAAAGGUUCAUGCAGAAGACAUAAGGCAGUAACCGAUUUCAUGCCAAUUUGCCUCAUAUCAAACAUUACUGAUUAUCCAGCAGUGUGCAUGGUUUUCAGAAAAACACGAACCACAAAUUUGUAUUUACUUUUCGUCUAGAUCACAUUUUGACUGUCGUUUGGGCGGGAAAUUUAAACACAUUACGUUGUUAAUUACGAGUCGCGAGUUUUGCGAAAGAAGAUUUAAUCGAUCGUUUUGAAUGGAGCGAGAAUGGUUUCGAAAUUAAUCGCGAACUAUUAAACGCAUCCGUGGAUAUUUUAAAAUAGUUCCCGGGGGUAUUUAUAUUAAAAAUUGCCUAGAUUUCGGCCAGGUAAAUAUAGAGUGAAAAUAAUUAAAAAAAGUACAUGGAAUUUCAAACAUUGUAUUGCCGAAUAGAUUUUGGUAGGCCAAGGUGUUUCCGUUCAUUAUUUUUGUUCACAACGAACAACAUGAGGAGACAAAAACAUUACGGUUGCAAAGAAAAAGUGAGAAGCAGGGGAUUUUUCUCUGCAAAGAAAAUUCUGACAUUUUUCCUCAAAUAUCUGACCAGUCUGACAGGGGCAAGAAAAUACUAGUAAAGUGGCUACGCUCCCCGACGCAAUAUUCGUUGGCAGACCAGAAGCCGCAAAAAAGGCAAGAACAUCUGGAGACAAAAAGAAGAAAGCAGAAAGAAGGCGAGGCAUUGCAGCAGAAUUUUCGCUACAUCAGUUCAAUCUCGGUAGUUUAGUGGAUAUUGUGUUUGGCUAAUAGAGUGGUCAUAAGUUAAAGACAAACACAUUCACAGCCGGACCAAAAAGAACAAGUGAGUAUCUGGGUGAGUUAACAACAAAUACAAAAGAAGAUAGAAAAAUUACCCGAAAUGACUAUGUGAAAUUGAUUGGCAAAAAGGCACAAUCUUCAAAGCCGAUAUAGGGUAUGCGGUUCAGCGACGUGUAAUCGUGUGGAGAGAGAGAACGAUGCAAACAGCAAAGAAACCGCACUUAAUGUUACGGUGUUUGUUUUGAUUAUUGCGUUUGUUGACUUCUUUCUCUCGUUGUUGGUCCGUUCUUAGAAAAGAAGACACCUUAGCCCUUAUAAAAAAUUUUAAUUAAUAAUUUAUAAUCUUUAUAUAUUAUACCCGAUACUCAAAACGAGUAAAGGGGUAUGUUAGAUUUUUGGUGAAAAUGGAUGUGUGUCAGGAAGCGUUUCCGACCCCAUAAAGUAUAUAUAUUUUUGGACGAUAAAUAGCAGAGUCGAUUGAGUCAUGUCUGUUUGUCCGCCACUAUGAGCGACUAGUUAUCAGAGACGAUAAGAUCUUGAGCAACGACAUUUUGUAUCCAGACUUCUGUGAUAUGUCACUGUGACAAGUGUAUUUCCAAACAAAGGAAGAAAAUCUGUGGCAUCCACAAUUUUAAAAAUAUGAGGAAACGAAAAACGCAGAAUCGUAGAGAAUGACACAUCUUCUGGACUACAGAAUCUGAACCAGAACCAAACGCAAAGAACCGAAAAACAAAGAACCAUUGUUAUAGCCAGAAAGAAGAAAACAAUUUAAUUUUCUCUCGUUCUAUCUCUCUCUAACACACACGUUUCAUGGUGGCUUUGCCUAUCGCUAGAUCACAGAGACUGUAAGAGUUAGAGUAACCAAAUUUGGAAUCCACACUACUGUUAAAUCUCACUGUUACAAGUUUAUUUCAAAAUUUCGCCCCAACCCCUUCCUCCUCCACAAAGAACGAAAAUCUGUGGCAUCCAUAACUUUGAAGAUACGACAAAAUUAAGAACGUGUAAGGAAGUUCUCAGUCUGUCCAGGGCCCGGUCCUUCCCCACAGCAAAAUUUGUUGUGUGAGGACCUAAGGGGAGAGCCGUUCGUGGAGAAAGCGCACCCGUGGUGUUUAUCGUGAGACAGUCGGGCCUGGCCCGGCCACGAGGCGUGGGUGAAUCCAUGCUUGGGAGCUGCAGAAACGUGCGUCGGGGGUCAUGCGUGGCGGGGAAAAGGGGUUCGGGUCAGGGAUCGGAAGGGUGUGGGAGAGGGGCGCCUAGCUUAGCAGAUGCCGCAUGAUCCACGACACACACCCGCUGGCUCCCCAGGGCAAGGGUGUAGGAGAGGGAGUCCAGCUUUGCGGAUGCCGCGUGAAUCCACGACUAGGUGGCUACACCUAAAGCACCGAUCACUUCCCUGCUCUCUGACGUAAGGUGGCUCACCUUUUUCACCCCGCGCCGAUGUCCAGUUGCCUUCUGGCUCCUGCUGCUGAUGAUCUCCGUGGCGUUCACUUUCCUGUCACUUUACGAUCACUUUUUGAUAUUACCUUUCCAUGGCUCGACUGUUCCGCGUGGGAGUUCGGAAACCACUCUCGAGUGUCGCACCCCCUGGACCGGGUCAUUCUUAUCUUUUUCUGCAGCUUCUCCGCCACUUCGAUGCUUCGCAGCUUUCGGCUGCCGGCCUCUUGGGCGUAUUGCCGUCGGCCCUUCAUCUGCGUGGGUGUGAGAUCGAUCGGCUCUCUCUGUUUCCCUCUCUUUUGUGCCAUUUCUCUUGGUGUUCGUGGCGCUGUCUGCCAAGUAUCGGGUAUAAAUAUAGAGUUGUGGUCGCAACAGCGACUCAUAAUGCUCCCCCUUGUUUAUUUUAAAUAAUAUUCUUUUAUUGGUUUAUUAAUAAUUUUUUCUGGCAGUUGUAUCAUGCGAGAGUGAAAUGAAUUGAAAUUUCAAUGGUAAAGAAAAAAAUAUGAAGAAAGAAAAUUUUUAAAGAGACUGAUAUUAAGAAGAAGAAAGAGAUAGAAAGAAAGAAUUACGAUGACGAGAAAAAAACAUAAUUAAGUUAAAUAAUUAAAUGUACACCAUUACAAAUAUUACAAAUAUGUAAUCACGAAUUAGGAAAAUAAUUAAAGCAUCAAAUUUUGCUUUAGUUGCCAAUGGUGGUGGUUGCCAGAGAUCCAUGGGGCAGUGGGGCAUAUGUUGUCUAGCGCCAAUCAGCAAAGACUACCUAUACGCUGUACAAGGGGUACAAGGGUAGUUCAAAGCACUACCAAGCAAAGCUCAUAAUCAGAAAUUAGAUUAGAGGCCCUACUGACUGGAUUUUGCCAUCGUUCAACACCGUAUUGAACUUCGACGCAGUCAUCAAUCGCUUCGAAUUCACAUAUUCAGAAAAACAUUUACUCAUUUACACUUUUCCGCGCAUACUGGAUGAACCUGUUUUAUUGAGAUUAUAGCCUUAGCCCCGUCGAAGACUUGCAUUUACUCAGUGUGGAAACACUUUUCGCGCAUACUGGAUUAACUAGUUCAAUAAAGAUUAUAGCUCCCAAAGUGUAAAGAAUAUUCUUAUCGGAAUAGUUCCACGUUCCGAAUGUGUGGACCGUCCCUUAUUCUAUAUUAAUCUCUCUAGGAAUCUGAUGUUUAAGAGUGUGAGGGACCUAUUUCAGGUUGUGGUUAGCUCAGUCACGUUCAGGGUCUAUCCACAAGAAAUUUGUAGAUGGAUGGAGCUCUAAGGGAAACGUCGAUGUUGUUUGUUGUUUCGAUGGUCCAUUGGAAAUCCAUCCCCACUAUGACUUGCUCUUUUUUUCUGUUUUCUACCGGGUUUGCUUCUAGCGCUUUGUCGACCGCACGCUCAAAUCUUCGAAUUUUCCUCGUUGAAACAAUAAGCCUCGGACAGUUUUCCCAAGACUAUCACCCACAAAGCCGAUGAGCUGAAGCCGAAUAAUAGCGUGCCGCCGCAACGACGCAUAGUGAAACAUUCGGCCAUUUCAGCUUGUUAAAUUAGUAGUUCCUGACUGAAUAGAGAUAUCUUCAUGAAACGAACUACAUUUGAAAGAAGUUUUGGUUAGUUUAACUGUGGCGGCAGUUAGACGGCGGCAUCAUUCCCAUCGAUGUCCCUGUGUCGGGGUACUCAUGUAAGGAAGAUAUCUCGUUCAGACCUGCGGCAGUCAUUUACAGUCGCAGAGUUUGAGCUGAUCACUAGGGAUACAGUAAUCUGUCCUCUCUGGUAAUUUGCGGGAGUCUCGUCAGGAUUCCAAACGCGGAUGCUUUCAAUGGUUUGGUUUCUUCUACUCUAUUCUUCUUACUCUAAGGGCGGAAACUGUUGCAACCUUCUUUCCCAUGAGAUCUACGGGAAGGAGUCCAGCACGGUAUCCAGGGCUUCACCUGGAGUAGUGCGUAGCCCGACAGUUAUGCAUAGCUCUGCAGUACAUUGAACUCUACUGAGCUCUCUCCAUUUUAGUCUGAUUGCUUUCCUGCAUGUAUAGAGGGCCACUGUGUCUUGCUUUACUCUAUCCUCUUUGCUCAGUUUCUAAUCAAGCUUUCUGUCGAGGAUUAGGCCAAGAUACUUGGCAUUGUUGCUACAGGCUAACAUUUCCUCAUAGAGUUUUGGAGGUGUUAGUACCGGAACUUUGUACUUCUUAGUGAAAAGCACAAGUUCUGUUGUAGUCGGGUUAACACCUAGCCCUCAUUUGUCUGCCCAUUUUGACAACUUUAUGAAAUUACUCACACAGCGUCUGCGAAAAUUUACCGGAGAAUGCUAUGAUAAUGUCUUCCGCAGCAGUUCGUUCAAUGCCACGUUCCAUAGGAGGGGCGAGAGGACUCUGUCCUGUUGACAAAUCUGGUGGACGUUGACGUCCCCUGUAAUGCGUCAACUAUCCUGCAUUGAUGCAUCUGAUCGAUUAUGCUCACCGUCUCGGAAUCAACCCCCAGGUCCGUUAGGGCAUUCGUGAUGGCGGCUGGGAGGAUGACGUUUAAGGCGCCUUCUAUGUCGAGGAAGACUACCAAAGUAGCUCGAUCGAUGUGAUCGUGUGUAGGGCCACUUCGGUGGAUAUUCUUAUCCGAUAGACCUGCUGGGAACCUCAGAUUAAACUAGGCGGAAUACUCGCCAUGAGAUGCAGUCUUAGGAGUCUUCAGAAAGAAAGCCGAUAGACUUAUGGGUCUUAAGUCUUUGGGGACAGUGUGCAAUGGCUUGCCUGCUUGGGGAAUGAAGACGACUUUAAUCCUAACCCAGGUGACGCGAAGUAGCUAGGUCUGUUUUCAUCACAUCCAUGGAAGUGGGUGUUUAAGAGAAGAUUUAGUGACUCAUUGCUUGACGUUGUCCAAGACUAGUGGGCUUUUUUAAGGUAGCCCAGGGUGGGUGUAGAAAUUUGCAAGAAAUAUUGGUAAUUGCCUUUAAUCAGGCUGCGGACGCGGGGGACUAGAGGUGUGGACCACAGCUGCUUGCGGCGGAGAAGAGACUUCUUCAUGAAACAAACUGCAUUUGAAAGAAAAAUCUUUCAAAAUUUUAUCUGUAAUCAAUGUAAAAUGCUCAAUUUCUAUUUUUUUUUUU